AUUGAACGCUGGCGGCAGGCCUAACACAUGCAAGUCGAACGCGUGGCGGACGGGUGAGUAAUGUCUGGGAAACUGCCUGAUGGAGGGGGAUAACUACUGGAAACGGUAGCUAAUACCGCAUACCAUCGGAUGUGCCCAUAUGGGAUUAGCUGGUUGGUGGGGUAACGGCUCACCAGUGCGACGAUCACUAGCUGGUCUUAGAGGAUGACCAGCCACACUGGAACUGAGACACGGUCCAGACUCCUACGGGAGGCAGCAGUGGGGAAUAUUGCACAAUGGGCGCAAGCCUGAUGCAGCCAUGCCGCGUGUAUGAAGAAGGCCUUAGGGGUGUAAAGUACUUUCAGCGGGGAGGCGUUACCCGCAGAAGAAGCACCGGCUAACUCCGUGCCAGCAGCCGCGGUAAUAC
rnacentral:rRNA from 1 species